rnacentral:lncRNA from 1 species
AUGCUUGCUGGAAGGGUCUCUGCGCCGGCCACCACAGUGUCCUGUGCUGAUCAGAGCUGGGCUCUGCACCUGCCUCGAGCUAGCUGGCUUUCAGAAGCUCUAAGAGGAAGCAGCGGCUCAGGGGGAGUGGGCUUGGGCGUUUCCAGGAGAGCCCACCACGUCCCCCUCAUUCUGGAAGCCAUUCCCCAUGGUGAUGAGGUCAUGGGGGACGCCUGGGCCAUCAGCUGGGGUCCUACUGCCCACCUGUGGGAGAAGUGGUGUGCCCACAGCCACAGUGGGAGCUUCCAGUCCACGGCGGGGUGCAGGUGGCCUGUGGACUUUCACCCCUGGCCACAGCAACACCUCCUGGAGCUACUCCCAGUGUUUUCCAGAAUAUAUAAACAAACCCUUGGAGUGAGAAUACCACCAGCCCCGCAGCGGGAAGCCCUGUGCUGUCUGGGCAGCAUUAGUUCAUGGUCUCCUGCGGCCGAGGGAAAAGGAGAUUCCUGGAAGCCAAGCCAAGCACCUGAGGGUCAGAAUGUGUUCCCAGGCCCUGGCCUCCCCGCUCCUGAGGGUCCCUGCCCAGAGCCUGAGUGCGGGGUGCUUCUGACCGGGACCAGCAGGUGCCAACUGUCCAUGCUAUCAACUGCCACGACCAGCGUGGGCUCAGAAGGAGCCACCAGCAGCGUGGCGGCCUUCCUCGGGCAGUCGGGGCCUCUGCAGAGGAUCUCCAUGUGCCCAGCGAGGGAGCCCGAGGGCAGAGGGCGGCACCGGCAUGGGAGCUGGGGCGGUAAGACACACGCAGCCCAGAAGGGACCAGCACACAGGGCCUCGGCGUUAAACUCAAAGUUGUGCGACUCUCACCUCCAUCCAGUCCACAGCUCUUCUCCUGCUAGAUGGACACCCGGUCCCUACUACACGGUCGCUCCCUGUCCCGCCCUCCCCAGCCCUGGAGACCAGCGUGUACUCUGUCUCCGUGAGCCUGACGACUCUGGGACCUCCUCCAAGGGGAACGUUCCCGUCCUGGGUGUCACGUGUUUCGCUGGGGACGACGCCAUCAAGGUUCGCGCACGCUGCGGCAGGCUCUGGAAUUGCCUCCGUCUUUGA